GGAGGAAAGUGAAGACAGAGAAAGUACUGACGCACAGGGUAGCGCCGGCAAGGAAUGAGGAGACAGUGCAGGGCGAGGAGAGGGUGCGGAGCGAAGGGAAGACCAGUGGCGAGAAGAGUUCCCAAGGCAAAGAAACUGUAUCUAAGGAGAAGGGGCGGGGCCACAUGAGGGGGCGUGGCGAGGAGCAGGCUCGGGAAGAACAGCUCUCCCAGGAGGGAGAAGGACAGGUUGAAGCCACGUUGCCCACUGCCCCAACAUGUCCCCUGCUGGCCCUGCGUGGCCGAGACUCCGAGUCCUGCGGGCGCUGUGGGCACUUCUGGUGGUGCUAUUGGCACCAUGGAGGUUGUGGGCGAUAAAGGAUACCCUGGAGUGCACCUGGCAGGUUGUCCUGAACAACUUUGAAACAGUAGGCAAGAACCACGCAAGCGAUCGUUUUUUCAAUCAAGAGCCCCUGGACACAGUGGACGAAGUGUUCAGCCUGCUGGUGGAUGCACCCAUCGACCCGGACGAGAGAUACCUGGGCUUUCCUUACUUCCUGAAGAUCAACUACUCCUGCAGAGGAGAGUCAUCUGAGGCCCUGGUCCGCAAAGGCCACCUGACGGGGCUGAAGCCCGUGGUGCUGGUCACCUUCCAGUCCCCAGUCAACUUCCAUCACUGGAAGAUAGAGCAGCUGCAGAUCCAGAUGGAGGCAGCCCCCUUCCGCAGCAGAGAGUGGUGUAACGCCGAGGAGCUGUGCAUCAUGAGCUGGUACAUGCCCAUGCCCAUCAAGAAUGGCAGCGUGGUCAUGCGUGUGGACGUCAGCAGCAAUGGCCUGGGGCCCUUCAUCCCCAAUAAAAGGUUUCAGGUGAACAUCAACGGCUUCCUGGAGAGACAGCGAGACAACAGCCUCCAGUUCACUGUGGGAAAUGAGCUCUUCGAUCUGAUACCCCGGUACUUCGUGAACGUCCCGUCGAGGCCCCUGUGGUACACGGUGGACCAGGCCCCUGUGCUCAUCCUGGGCGGCAUCCCUGAGGAGAAGGCCAUCCUGCUGACCGACACGAACUUCGAGGACUUCUUUCUCGUGGAGCUGAGCAUUGACAGCUGCUGGGUAGGCUCCUUCUACUGUCCCCAGGCCAACUUCACCGCCACCAUCUAUGAUGCCAUCGCCACCGAGAGCACCCUCUUCAUUCGGCAGAACCAGCUCAUCUACUAUUUUACCGGCACCUAUACCACACUCCAUGAGACCAACCAUGGCAGCGGUAGAUGGGUUCGUAUCUUGGCCAACGAGUGCGUCAAGAAAUUAUGCCCCGUGCAUUUCCAUAGCAACGGCUCUGAGUACGUCAUGGCCCUCACCACGGGCAAGCACGAAGGUUACGUCCACUUUGGAACCAUCACAGAUGGCCGCGUGUCCUUCGAGUUGCUACCCAGGCAGCAGUCCGUGUGCAAUGGGAUACGAGCCUCCCUGCCAGUGGUCAACUGCUCCAUAACCUGGGCCGUGUUCAUUGCUGGUGACUACGAUCUACUGCUGCUGGUGGAGAUUGAAGAGCCCGCCUCCAGGAAGUAUUUCCUGGUGGUCAGCUACAACCUGGUCAGUGAUUACCUGGUCAUCCUCUACACCAUCCCAGAAUUCAUCCCUGACGCUCGAGGCCUCGAGUUCCUGAUGAUCCUAGGGACAGAAUCUUACACCAACGUCCCGAUGGUUCCCAAAGGCAUGUCCUACAACGAGUAUAACAACCUGCUGUUCAUCUGGGGCAACUUCCUCCUGCAGAGCUAUAACAAAGAAAACUACAUCUACCUGGCGGACUUCCCCAAGGAGCUGUCUAUCAAGUACCUGGUCAACUCAUUCCAUGGGGACAUGGCUAUCGUCACAGAGACCGAGGAGAUCUGGUACCUCCUGGAGGGCAGCUACCAGGUAUACAAGCUGUUCCCGUCCAAGGGCUGGGAGCUGUACCUUAGCCUUCAGCUGAUGCAGCAGUCCUCUCUCUACGCCCCCAAUGAGACCAUGAUCACCCUCUUCUACGAUGACAGCAAACUCUACCAGCUAGUGUACCUUAUCGACAAGCAGCAGGGCAGGCUCGUCAAGAGGCUUGUGCCUGUGGAGCAGCUCCUGAUGUACCAGCAGCUUGGCAACCACUACCUCUUGGAGCAGCAAGGGAGCCACCUGACGCUCUCCUUCGCCAACUUCUGCCCCUUCACCGUGAUGCGCCUGCUGGACCUGCCCAACCCGCAGAUCUACACGCGCCAGGAGCGUUACCGGGCGCAGCCGCCGCGCAUCUUGGAGCCCUCAGGCUUCCACAACAAUAACUCGCUCGCUGUCUAUCAGGGCCUCGUCUACUACCUGCUCUGGCUGCACUCCAUGUACGACAAGCCCUACGCGGACCCGGUGCACGACCCCACCUGGCGCUGGUGGAAGAACAAGAAGCAGGACCAGGAUUACUACUUUUACCUGGCCAGCAACUGGCAGAGCGCAGGCAAUGUGCACAUUGACAUGGCCAGCUACGAAAAGAUCUACGACCUCAAGGCGGAGAACGAGCUGCCAGAGCGCAUCUUCCUGGACAAGGGCACCAUCUACAGUUUCUCUGUCUUCCUGACCGCCAGGGGGCACGCGUUCGACUUGGAGGACCAGAGCAGUCUGUGGGCGGGGCCGGGUGGAGCCUGGGGGCGGGGCUUCUAUAGGGUCCGGCCGGAGGCCCUUAACCCCUACCUCUGCCAAGCAGGCGCUUCGUCUCAGCCGGGGAGCCAGGUGGGCCUGGCUGUGGUGCUGGCCGACCCCGCCUGCAUCGAGGCGGUGGUGAAGCAAAAGGACCUUAUUAAUCGUAACUCGGUGCUUUUCUGGGUGAGACCAGGUGGAGAAGGGGUGCCGACAUGGGGGCAGAACUACUGGGACAGUGGGCCUAUUGGAAAACCACGGCUAUUUGAAAGGUCCCUGGGUCCUCCUGCCCGCCUGAGGUCGCUUCAUUUCUGCCCCCACCCUCAGGUUACGCUCAGUGAUAAAAGGACUUGCUUUGACCAGGGCAUUAGCGGACAUCACCUCAUGAAGACCUCCAUGCUCAUCAAGGUGGUGGGCUCUUCUGGGCACUGCUUCCAGAACACGCACCAGGGGCCUCGCAUGCAAGGCAACCUGAUGGUGCCAUUGCUUAUCGGCUGCCCCCCAGGCAAGCGCCUGGCCUUUGACAUCACCUACACACUGGAGUACAACCGCCUGCAGAACAAACAUUACUUCGACUGCGUGCACGUCGACCCUGAGAUGCCAUGUUUCCUCUUCCGCGACAGUGCGCGACCUCUGCCCCCACGGCUUUGCCCUCCUCUGGCCUUUCCUCCCUGCCCGCUCACCGCCCCACCCAUCCCUUUCUCCCCCCCCUAAUUUUUUUUGCUUUUUAGGGCCGCACCCAGGCAUAUGGAGGUUCCCAGACUAGGGGUCUAAUCGGAGCUGUAGCUGCCAGUCUACACCACAGCCACAGCAACUCGGAAUCCGAGCCGCAUCUGUGACUUACACCACAGUUCAUGGCAACGCAGGAUCCUUAACCCACUGAGCGAGGCCAGGGGUCGAACUGCAACCUCAUGGUUCCUGGUGGGAUUCAUUUCCGCUGCGCCUCCACGGGAACUCCACGCUUCAUCUUCUCACCUCUCCUUCCUCCCUCUCUUGGGCUUCCACUUCCCAAGCUAAUGUCUCCUCCUCCCGGCCUCAACCCUUCCCAUCCCACAGUCUUCUACCCGUUCUUCUUGAUCCAAGAUUUGGUGACGGGAGAUUCGGGCAGUUUUCAGGGCAGCUACGUGCUGAAGGUGGUGGGCGGUGGGCCCACCCUGGACACCAUCAAGGACUACAGCGAGGAGGAUAUCUACCGCUUCAACAGCCCCCUGGACAAGUAAACCCCGUGGCACCUGGCCCGUAAUUCACCUUUCUCCCCUUGGAGGGCCCUCCCAGCUUCCCAGCCACAGAGCUAACGCAGGCUGCAAGCCCCGCCCACUUUGGACUGGCAGCCUCAUCUGGACCACGAGGAACUCAACGACCACCGAGGACUCGGCCUUCAACAUCAUGUCCCACCACAGCUUAGGCAUCGAGUGUUGGUGAGCAAUAGAGGGGUGGACAAGAGCACAUACUGCGACUAUCAGCUCACCUUCCUGCUGCACAUCCACGGGCUGCCCCUCAGUGCCAAGCGGGCCUUCUUAAUCCUCAUGGUGUCCACCAGCGUGUUUGUGGGCCUGGUGAGCCUCUACAUCAUCUUCUGCCUCCUGUUGCCCUUCAUGGUGAAGACCUGCAACUUCUUUCGCUGGAAGAUUAACAACAUUAUGGCCUCGGAAUCCUCCUACAUCUACAGCAUCCCGUCCAACACCAGGGCCUUCAACAAAACGUCCUUAACCAAAUCUGGGAGUAGCUCCAGAGGCAGCUCCAACAUCCUCUCCAAGAGGGUGGCCGAGAGCAAGGCUGAAGCCGAGGAAACCACAGGGAAGUGGCAGACCUGAGCCUCCCACCCGACCCCGACGCCACCCACCCGCCCGCAUCCCUCAUUUCCUGGGCCCUAUUGGACAUGAAACCUGUCAGUCAUCCCAGGCGGGUUUUCCUGUUUUACUUGAAUUCUCACUUCUCAUUUCAGCACCGGCUGUGGGUCCUUUGUAAGGACUCAUAUUCAGUUCAUUUGUACCACCCAGCCACAUAGGUUAUUAAAAUAUCAAAAUCCUUCUGUGCCAA